rnacentral:rRNA from 1 species
UGGCUCAGGAUGAACGCUAGCGGCAAGGCUUAACACAUGCAAGUCGAGGGGCAUCGGGAGUAGCAAUACUUGCCGGCGACCGGCGCAAGGGUGCGUAACGCGUGAGCAACAUGCCCGUAUCAGGGGGAUAAUCCAUGGAAACGUGGUCUAAUACCCCAUAGUAAUUAUGUAAGGCAUCUUAUAUAAUUUAAAGCUUUGGUGGAUACGGAUUGGCUCGCGUGACAUUAGCUAGAUGGUAAGGUAACGGCUUACCAUGGCUACGAUGUCUAGGGGUUCUGAGAGGAAGGUCCCCCCACACUGGAACUGAGACACGGUCCAGACUCCUACGGGAGGCAGCAGUGAGGAAUAUUGGACAAUGGAUGGAAAUCUGAUCCAGCCAUGCCGCGUGCAAGGAAGACGGCCCUAUGGGUUGUAAACUGCUUUUGUAUGGGAGCAAUAAGGGCUACGCGUAGUCCGAUGAGAGUACCAUACGAAUAAGCACCGGCUAACUCCGUGCCAGCCGCCGC